AGAGUUUGAUCAUGGCUCAGAUUGAACGCUGACGGUAUGCUUAACACAUGCAAGUCGAACGGUAACAGUCCCUCACCUAGAAAUUUCUUAAAAAGAGAUUUGUAGGUGAGGGAGCUGACGAGUGGCGGACGGGUGCGUAAUGUAUAGGAAUCUGCCUAGUAGUGGGGGACAACUCGGAGAAAUUCGAGCUAAUACCGCAUAAGCCCUACGGGGGAAAACGGGGGAUCUUCGGACCUCGUGCUAUUAGAUGAGCCUAUAUUAGAUUAGCUUGUUGGUGAGGUAAUGGCUUACCAAGGCGACGAUCUAUAGCUGGUCUGAGAGGAUGAUCAGCCACACUGGGACUGAGACAUGGCCCAGACUCCUACGGGAGGCAGCAGUGGGGAAUAUUGGACAAUGGGCGAAAGCCUGAUCCAGCAAUACCGCGUGUGUGAAGAAGGCCUGAGGGUUGUAAAGCACUUUCAAUUGGGAGGAAUACCUAAUAGUUAAUAGCUAUUAGAUUGAC
rnacentral:rRNA from 1 species